GAGAAGAACGUAGCGAAAUGCGAUAAGUAAUGUGAAUUGCAGAAUUCAGUGAAUCAUCGAAUCUUUGAACGCACAUUGCGCCCGCCAGUAUUCUGGCGGGCAUGCCUGUCCGAGCGUCAUUUCAACCCUCGAACCCCUCCGGGGGGUCGGCGUUGGGGACCUCGGGAGCCCCUAAGACGGGAUCCCGGCCCCGAAAUACAGUGGCGGUCUCGCCGCAGCCUCUCCUGCGCAGUAGUUUGCACAACUCGCACCGGGAGCGCGGCGCGUCCACGUCCGUAAAACACCCAACUUCUGAAAUGUUGACCUCGGAUCAGGUAGGAAUACCCGCUGAACUUAAGCAUAUCAAUAAGCGGAGGA
rnacentral:misc_RNA from 1 species